UACGAAGGGGGCUAGCGUUGCUCGGAAUUACUGGGCGUAAAGCGCACGUAGGCGGCUUCUUAAGUCAGGGGUGAAAUCCCAGGGCUCAACCCUGGAACUGCCUUUGAUACUGACGAUCUGGAGAUCGGGAGAGGUUGGUGGAAUUCCGAGUGUAGAGGUGAAAUUCGUAGAUAUUCGGAGGAACACCAGAAGCGAAGGCGGCCAACUGGCCCGAUACUGACGCUGAGGCGCGAAAGCGUGGGGAGCAAACAGG
rnacentral:rRNA from 1 species